GCCGCAUACCCGAAUGGUCGGAAGCGGUCUUGAAAACCGUGGCUCUUAACGGAGUAGGGGGUUCGAUUCCUCUGUGCGGCG
rnacentral:tRNA from 1 species